AUGCAAGCGCCAAAGUCUUCACACUAUUCAUCUUUUGAGAGGAGAUGGCAAUGCAAUGCUAUUUUUAACUUUUCCAAAAAGAUGAGGGAAGAGAACUUAACACAUUUCAUUUAUUUCAUAAAAUUUAUAUACCUCUUAAUUGUAGGGAAAAAACCCUCAAAGCAGUUUUUGCUUGAAGCCUUUGGGGAAAAUAAAGAAGAAUUUCUUCAUCCUUUGAAGUAUAUAAAGACAAGGCAGGCAGGCAUGCAGGUGUUACCGGUAAUUACUGGUUUCCUAAAACCCGCCAUUAAACAAAGAAAGAAAAAUGAGAAGAAACAAGUGGGAGGAGAAGCUGGCAUUGAGACAACAGAGAAUAUUGAAAGUGCAGAUCAUGGGCUACUCAUCACUACUUCCCUGGCCUUGAUCAACAGGAAUCAAUAAAACAGGAUGAAGCUAUAUAGAAGAAGCUUUCAAAUAACGUUGGAAAGAACCUUUGCUGAAUGGAAGUGGUUGGACAUUAUCAAAGGAUAUUUGUCAAAGAAAAGGGCAUUGCUUUAUCAUACAAUGGUAUAUUAGCUGCUGUGUGGAAUUUCUGUUUUAAUUCUCUGUCCACCUCAUUUCAAAAGUGCAAUGCUUGUGUGUAGAGGAAAAGGGACCUUGGGCCUUAUUAUGUGGCCAUGCUACCAAAGUCACAUAACUUCUUUUACUCCUGUCGUGUAAAUCAUGAAAUCUGCAAUGAGAAUCUUCACAUGUUUGUGGAGGAUUCCUGUGCCGUUUAGAAACAAAGGCUAUCAGGCUUCUCAAUGUUGCAGAGAGCCCUCACUCCUAGAGGAGUCUUCCUGCUGUAGAGUAUUGUAAACAUGACUGUGUUAGGAUAUAGUUCCGUUCCACCUUAAAAGGAUCAGGCAUGACUGUUGUGUGUCACAUGCCUGUUUACUUGCAGCACAGUCUGCUGGGAAUUUCAGUUUGUAUAUUGCUUUUGCUUUUUCCUGUUUUGCUUGGACACGAAGGGAAGCAGACAUGUUUUCCCACUGUCCUGCUGCUGAAUAAAUGCUGUAAAUAUGCUUACACAUGUCUCUGUCCGCUACUUCUGCUGCAAAGAGUUUUAUCUCUGCUGGCUUGCGUGCUUAAGCCUCUGAAGGCUUCUGAGGCUUAAGUCACAGUUUUGAUGCUGCUCCGAGAACCCGAGUUUCACCUGGCUGCUGGCCAGUGGCUGGAGCCAACUGGGGGCCUGCCAGACGCCCCUGUCUCCCAGCAGCAUCCCAACAGACUGCAGUAGUGGGGGCAAGAGAAGCCAGACCCUGGGAGUGGGAGGAAACUCUUUUCAACAUGCUUUCCCUCUAUAUGUGACUAAUGCAUUAAGAAGGCUCAAGCCUCAGCUACAGAAAUGGGCUCUACUGUGGAAGCAUCCUUACCCCUACCUGUUCAAAGUCCAGGUCUGUAGCCACUGUACCACAACUGUCAGUCAACUAGCGAUCUCUCAGAUAAAUAUGUGGUCAGUACAUAACUGAUAUAUAAGAAAUUGCCUUAUGCUGAUGCAGAUGAUCUUACUGUUGUCUCACUGUUACACUUUUUCAUCUGUCUUCUUGAUGGCAUUCACUAGAGUUUCUAGAGAUUACAUCUGGGUGAAACGCAUGCUCUAGCACCCAGGCAUGCCCUCUUUGAUAUGCAUGUCUCUUAACAUUUCAAAACACUCCAGCAGGGUGUUCAUAGGAUAAAUACAAAUGUUGCAGUGUUAUAGAGCAGCUACAAAUUUGACUGAAAACUAAACCAGUGGUUCUCUUUCUGCUCCACGCACCAAUGAGCUGAAUGGAUAUGAUUUUCACCCAACAUUUGAAUCUGAUUGAAAUAGAUGAAAUGAAUUAUUCACAGAUUGCACUUAAGAGAUAAAUGCCAAAAGGUCGAAAGUCUCUUAGAGUAUUUCAGCACAAUUCCCUUUAAAGGAUGGUUGUUCCUCCCCUGAAGGCCACGCUUUGAGUUUUAAACAGGAAGUAUCAGCAAAGCGUUGGCGUUUCUAUUAUCACUUGGGAUUUUGAAGAAUUCUGGUGGAAUUAGCAUCCCAGCUGUUAUUGAGUUUUCUUCCAGCGCAUUAAUCUUGAUGGUAGCUUUCAAAUCCGAAACUCUGAAUGAGUCCUAUUGAUUUCAAUGGCAUUAUUCCAGAGUAAGCAGUCUGAGUACUGUGAUUAUGACUCUUGGCUCCAUAGAACAUCUGGAAGAUAGAAUCUUUUGACUCAUUUGUAUGCAGUCAUAAAAGCAUUUAUAAGAAGCUCUCUCAUAAAUGUGCUGUUAUGGUCUAAAGAAAGUUUGUGAAGAUUCGUCAGGGGGCUUGCUUACAGAUAAAUCUGUCCACAAGAGGGCGCACAUAGAAAAAAUAUUUUGUGAAGGCAGUGCAUAGUGAUAGUGUCCUCACUUCGCCCCAAAUCACUGUUAGAAAACAGUGUAAUAUGUAGGUUACUGGUUCUUACCUUCUCAGAGCACAGGGCUAGGUUAGAUUAAGGAUUAUUGAUCAUGUAACUUUGCUCCAAGAUUCGUUAGAUCUUAAUAAAAACAUUGGUUCAACCAUGUAUGCAGCUGACAAUUUUAUUGGCAUGGAUACAUCCUUCUCCCUGGCAUAUGAAGGCCACUGAAUAGUCUGGGAGCUUUCCAAAAUAUCUGUGGUUUAUCAUUUUUUCAUUGCACUGUACCCCACACCCCCUCUUGACACAGCAUUUUUCAAUUGGCCUCUUUUCAGGAAUAUGAUUCUAGCUUGAACUCCUUUUUAUCUAGGGGUGGUAAGCUCACUGUCACUUAACUGGCUACAAAGUUGCAUUAUCCACAUUUUAAAUAUAUAUAAAAAGGUGGUGCAAAAGGCUUUCUUUCAUUUCUUAAGCUUCACUAUUGUCUACAUUCUAACUAACUGAGCUUCUUCUUCUUUUAGUCUGUCAUGUUAGUUUUAAACAACUGUAUGUCUCUUCUGGUAUUAGGCAUCUAUCACUGCCAUUUUGGACCUCUCAAGCAAUGAUAACCAAAUUGCUUGAAGGGCAUUAAUGAUGUGUGUGUUGCCCCAAUUUUAAAGUUUGUUUUUAAUUAUUUAUCUCCACCUUUUUGCAGUUUUGACUUUUAUUCAUUAGAGACAGCCUAGGGGUCAUUAUGAUAUGGUCAUUUUCUUCCCACAACUCUCUUUGUCUCUCAAACACACAUUCAUCCAAACCAUGUGUUUUGCAAUCUAGCUAAAUUGAAGUUAACUCACCUUUAAGCUUGAAGCCCUGGCCUCAAUACAGUGUCCAUGACCCAGAGAAAACCUAGAUAGACCCAACCUUUUUCAAUCAAUGGUUCUUUCCUGUGCAAAGGUACAAGUCAUUGUGGUGUAGUGGUGAGAAUGUCAGGCUGAGGUUGAGGAGAGCCACUCAGCCUUGAAGCACACUGGGCGACUUUGGGCCAGCCACUACAGUGGAACCUUGGUUUUCAAACAUAAUCUCUUCCUGAAGUCUGUUUGACUUCCAAAACGUUUGAGUGAAGGGCUGUAAGGAAAGUGAAUGGUGAAAAUGGAAAAACGUGCAGCAGAAGCCGUUAGACUUCCAAGGCGUGUUCGAAAACAGAAGCAUUCACUUCUGGGUUUUUGGCGUUCAGCUUCUGAAUCAUUUGGCAGCUGAGACAUUCAAAAAUGGAGGUUUGACUGUAUCUGGCUUGUAGUAGAGAACUGAUGCAGCAUGUGGUACAUCAUUUCUAAAGUUUUCAAUAAUAAAAUACCUUAAACUCAAGUCUUCUCUCUGAAUUGAUUAGUUUUACUGAUGGGUGGGAUGCAGUGAAGUCCCAGGUAAGCCCAUAUAUUAUUUUCCUUUGCAGUUCUAUUUCAUUACCAUUAUUGUGUUUGUAUAGUUCAUGAUAAUAUGAGUUUAAAGAUUUCCAUUUUCUGAAAGAAGCCUUCUUACCUCUCAUACUUUCCUUGACUUUGCUCUGCUCAUUAACCAUGCUGGCAUCCUCUUGGCUUCAGUAGUACCUUUCCUGUUUGCAGUAUACAUUCUACCCGAACUUCCAUUAUUGCAGACAAUAGCACUCUGAUCAUGUGUCCAUUACUAUUUUAGGAUUCAUGAUACUAAUAUUUGCUAUGAUACUCCAGAAAACAGCAAUAUGAUUGUUAUGCUGUAUGAUUUGUCUUCUCAUUUUGUAUUUUUAUGUUGUAAACCACCAUGUGAUCUUCAGCUGAAGGGCAGUAUACAAUUUAUGUAAAUAAAUAAAUAUUAAUAAUAAUAGAUUUCCUAGGUUUCUAAGGGCUGAUUUGGUGUGUGUAUGUGUAUAAAAACUUGUUUAGUGCUUAACUCUCAAGUGAACAUGUGAAUUGCCUCCUUUGAAAAAUAUAGUGUUUGAAAUAAUGUGACAUUCAUCAAAGAAAAGGAGAAAGCCAGUUGCACAUAUAGCAAUUUUAAUCCAUUCCAUUUUAAAUACCACAAUAAAUUUAAUUUUCACAAUAAAUUAAAUAGCCAUAUUCAGUUUACAAAAUAGAAUUACUUAGUGUGAAACCAGUAUUUACAAACAAUAUACAUUAUGUACAGCAGGUUUCUCUUUGUCAACGUACAAGUAAAGAAGGGGGGGAAAGACUUCCUUUUCGACACAUGAUUGACAUGCUACAAGUGCCAAGAUGAUCCAUACAAUAAAAACAAUAGUGCAAACUCACCACAGGAAAUUUGAAACAAUGUUGAUUGCAUGAGAGAAUUUCUUUUCAAACAAUAGGAAAAGAGUUCCAGUAGAACUCAGCAUUACAAGGGAUAUAUUUACACUGCAAACUUGUAUUGGUUUUUUGCCAGUUUAAUUAGUAUGGUCCCCCCACCCCAAUAAAAAAUCCUGGAAAUAGUAGUCAGGUAAGAAUUCUGUAUUACAGAUUCCCUGCCCCUGGUCAAAGAAGCAUAGUUACUUUGAAAGAGUGACUGUUAAACCAAUAUAAGCCUGAAGCAUAGAUUUACACCUUUAAAGGGUCAAUAUUCUUUUAGCGAUAUGUAUCCAUAAUAGCCCAUCUUAGACCUUUCAAUGCAAUUCUUGCAAUGAAUUCUACCAUAAUAUUCUGCCUUCUCUCUAGAUAUGUUUGGUAUUAAAUUUUACGGAGCAAAUAGAGUACUGACCCUUUGAACUGAGUAGCUGAGUUAAUUCCUUUAAAUGACACCUUCUCAUUUAAUUGUAUAGCAUAAAACGAUGCAAUUAUGCAGAGAGUAAAUUUUAUGUUAUUCACUGCUCUGUAGAAAAAUUGAUCCCACCUUAUAUUUGGUCACACACUGCAUAUAUACAAGUAUGCAUGAAAAAGGGUUACUUUGAUAGCUGUGUAUACGAAAAGUGCAUAUUUUUUACUCUAAUAGAGACACGGUGGCAUAUCUCCAGGUGCAACACAC
rnacentral:lncRNA from 1 species